rnacentral:lncRNA from 1 species
AAAAAAUAUAUAUGUUAAAAAACAAGCAAACAUAUGUUUUAAAACAUCUAAAUAAUAAUGAAAUCACGUAAAAUAAAGUCAGAUUACUGGUACCAAUACUUUCACUGAUUAAACUUUCAUUUACACCAUAAAAUUAGUCAUACAUUCAAGAACCAAUAUCACCUUUCUUGUUAUCAUUUCCAUUCCUUCUUCUUUUUGACCUUUGAAUAGAAGAACUUGAUAUGUCUACACCGAAUUCAGAUCCUCUCAUAUUGAUCCUUUCCUGCUGUCUCGUUAUGCAUUAAUUGCAGCCAUUAGAUCUCUCAUGUUGUUUCUUUCUUCUGACUAGUUUUUUUUCUUUACAAUCUCAGGCGUUGAAUUAAAAACACGAAAGAUAGGAGAACACACUGGCGUAGCAGAUGAUCCAACUCGGUCUAUACCUUGCCCAGCUAACUCCUCAACAUCACACCAAUCAUGGUCUUCAUUAGUUGCUUUAGUUUCUUUUUAUGGGUCUCCAGAUGGUCCAUUUACCAUGACCAGAGGCUAUAGUAUUCUUAAAAAGAUCUCCAAUUCAAGUAAAUUUCUAAUACAUUGUCUUUGAACUUUGCAACUUCAGGGAUAUUCCUGAAAUAAAAUCUAUUUGAUUUACUAAAUAUUUUAACCAUCAAACUGAAAAAUAAAUGAAAAUAUAAUUUUACCCUCAUUAUCGUUGGAAGCCAUCUCAAGGGCUAUUAUAGCACAAUACAAAAAAAAAAAAAAAGUUUCUCACACAAACAAGAAUCAUAAUUUUUUUUCUUCCGUAAAUCUGAUAUCCUCUGUGCGCAACUGUAGAGACCAAUCCCUCAAGCCUUUGUGGAACUCAAAUGAGCGGCAAACUCUCCCUAAGUGUUUUAACGUUGCUGCAUGCCCAAACUAGAGACAAGAAUCAUAAAUUUAAAAACAUAUCACAUGAAAAUAAAGUGAAUUCUUAUUUGUACUAACAACUCUUUUGGUGUAACUUGAACCAAUUGUGGCUUUGAUAUAAUAUAUAAAUAAAUGGUUAGAAUUUAUUAUAGCUGUUGAGAAAAUCAAAUAUUUUAUUAUUUAUUAGGUACUAAUAGGAUGAUAAAAUUACUAAUCUAGUUAUAAGCUGCAAAUAUUAAAUUAAAACUUAAGGAAAUUAUGAGAGUAGAAGNNNNNNNNNNNNNNNNNNNNNNNNNNCAUGAAUAAAAACAAAUUAAAUUUACUAUUCUAAGUUGACAAAGAUAGAUAAUAAUCUAUAUUACUAUUUUAAGUUGACAUUAUCCAUGAAUAUUUCAACAUUAAUAGUGAAACAUCUUUUUCACCUUAAUUUGAUGAUUUAUUUAAUUACUUAUAACACUCCCCCUUUGAAAUAUUCAUCAUAGUGCUCCAUUUAAUUUUGUUGAGAAGAAUGUGAUGGGAACAUACGUUGCCUCGUUAAAAACCNNNNNNNNAAAACCCAUUGGGAUAAAAACCUCAAUAAGGGAUAAAGAGUACAACAUUAUGCUCCCCCUUAACCAAGCCUAGGUAAUUCUUCUUCAAAGGUCUCGAAGGUGACGCAUUCCAAUACUUCGUACGUGUUUCUUGAAGACUGAUGUGGAAAGUGCCUUUGUAAAAAGAUCGGCCACAUUUUCACUCGAACGAAUGUAUUGAAUAUCAACCUCUUUGUUUCUUUCUAGCUCU